CUGGCACAGCUGAGCCACAAGGGGGUGGUAUGUGUGCUAACAUGCUAACUCGAUUUGACAUCCAGUCCUGCUGAGCACAUAAGAAGGCAUCUUCACAGCUUGUGUCUUCUUCUUCUGUUUGCUCUAACAGGCCUUUCAGAAAAAUGCGGAACAAGACCUUCCAUCUGAGAGCGAGUCUGCAGACUUCAAGGCACCCAAAAAAACCAGAGCACAGCAGAAAGCUGCAUCCAGUAGAUCUGCUAAGAGAAGAAAAAGAAGAAUGAAAAAUUAGAAAUUGCUUCUAAUUUUUGACUUCAAAAGCCAUUCUCUAGAGUGACAUGGGGAAAUACAAAAUAUCUUAAUUGUACAUUUAAAAAAAAUACAGAAAUGGAUAUGACUGCCUUCAUAAUCAGCUGUUAGAAUCAGCUGGCAGUAGAAAUGACCAACAUUGUGCUGAUUAUUUCAUGUUUUUUUUACUUGUUUUAGACAACCAAAUUAUUUAUUCUAAAGAUUUAUCCACUUUAGGUCAAUGAUGAUUAUGUUUUGUAAAAAGUUCCUUGUUCAUGAAAAUUAAUUCCAUGAUGAUUUUUUAACGAUGAAUAUUCCUUAAUGACCAUACAUUGUGAAUACAUGCUGUGUAGA